AAUGAUGGUUUUAGGGUGACUCCCCUUUUCUGAUAACACCCAAGGCCAGAGGUACCUUCUGCUAAACAUAUAUCAAAACCUUCUGCUGAACAGUCAUAACGAAACCUUCUGACGUCUAUAAAAGGAGUUAGCUCAAAUAAACAAGGUGUGUCAUUCACUGAACCUCCACUCUGGUGGGCAGUUGAUUGAAUGCACCCUGAGACUCAGCACGUUGGUGUCUUGUUUUUUCCUCUCUCUUUGGACAAAGAAAACGAACACGCAAGGACGAUUGAAGGUUCCAUAAUCUAUUGAACAUUGACAUUAUAUUACGUCCUUAACAGAUGGUGACCCUGCGUCGUGAUUUGUCUGAUAGGAGAGGUUAAUUUUGGUCAUCAACUACUUGGCCUGGACUCACAAACAGAGCGCUCACAAACUAAGGUAAGCAGAGACCUUUUUAACUAAAUUCUGCACAUUGACAGUUACCAAAUUAUUUGUGAGUCCGAGACAAGUAAUUUUUUCUAAAUCAUAAGUUUUGUGUGACUCGAGAGAUAGAGAAAUCCUACAACAAAGGUUGUGGAAGGUUAGCCUCCAAUCACGACAGAUUGGAGAAGGUUAUCCUCCAGUGACGACUGGGGAAGGUUACCCUCUGACGACGGUCAGGGAAGAUUUACCAGUAUUAAAAGCUUUACAGGCAUCCAAUCGGACGGCGAUAAACCACCUGCAUCUGUUUGGCCUCGAGUGAUAAAGAAGAAGUGGUCUGAACCGAGGUGGACGGGACCGUUCACCGUGACUGCGAGGACUUCACACGCCUACCAACUUGAAGGAAAAGGGACUACCUGGUUCCUCAGGUCACAAUGUCGUGUUGCCAAACCACUUUGAUUGUUUCAUUAGUGUUGCAUUUUUUUUGCCUCAAGUUGUAUUCGGCAAAAAGGGGGAAUUUAGUAGACCAACAAUUCGUAGCGUAGGAGAAAGGGUAAACAUUUUAGCUUUAGCCACAGGAUACACACAACAAAACCUGUGGAUAGCCUACUUACAAGAAACGGCCUGACUUGGCAAUUUUGGGGAUUGUAUAAUGUGUGCAGCCGCACGACCAAUUAUGGAUAUUGAUUCACUAAAUUGCAUGAUUGAAAUAUACAAAAUAAACCAUAACGUUAGCUCUCGAUGCGCGAAGUAUGAGAAUAUGUGGCCAAAAUUACCUAAAAGUACAGUACCACUCAUGGCCCAUUAUGCAGAAGGAAAUUACACUUGUUUAAAUGACAGAAUUAACCAGAACAAAACUAAGUAUGUGGGGGUAUUUCCAUUUUGUCAUAAUAUAAUAGAUAUCACUACAUGGGGAAAUAUUACGAUAUUGAGCAAAAGGUCUUUAGGUGAUUUGGCAUAUAUGUGUGAAAUUAAUGUAGUAAGAGCUGUAUUACCUGACAAAUGGAAAGGGCCAUGUAUAAUGAUUUCCUAUGUGGCGUCAACCACUGUAAUUUUCGCCAAGGAUCAAAUAACGAGACCAAAAACAGAAACUAUUGUGAGGUCAAAGAGAUCAAUCAGCGAUAAUUGGUCAGAGGACAGAACCACAUACAUAGAUGGCAUUGGAGUGCCCAGAGGGAGUUCCAAAUGAAUACAAACUGAUUGAUCAAAUUGCAGCAGGAUUUGAAAAUAUGCCCAUCAUCUCUGCAUUUUUCCCAGUAACUCCAAACAAGAAUGUGGAUAGGAUCAACUUUGUGUAUUACCAUUUGCAAAGAGCAGUAAACUUAACCAGUGAUGCCAUUGAAGGCUUAGCUGAACAAUUGGCCCCCACUUCCCUAAUGGCAAUUCAAAACCGCAUGGGCUUUGACAUGAUCCUUGCCGAAAAGAAUGGUGUUUGUGCAAUGUUUGGUCCACAAUGUUGUACUUUUAUUCCCAACAACACAGCCCCGGAUGGAAAAGUAACGAGAGCCCUACCAUGGGUUACAAACUUUGGCUGCUGAAAUGGCAGAUUCAACAGGCGUUUCCAACCGCCUGGAAGAUUGGGCUACGGUGUGGUUUGGAAAAUGGAAACACCUUAUGGUCACGGGAGUGGUGGAAAAGAAUAUGAACCAGCCGGAAUCACAGAUGUUGAUGACCUCCGAAGGAGCUCCUACUCCUUAAGUUCUGCUCACACAAGACGACGUCGUGUCCAGAUGGAUGAAUUAUUGAUUAAGAAUAUACAGUGUCUAUUCUCUUAGCAUGUUACGGGACUUGUCUUUUUCCCUCCUCAAAUCACUAUAUGGGGAGGUUUUUGGCCUGUCUCAAGAGUAGUACUGCCUUAUGAAGAAUGCUUAGCUCAUGACUAAGUAGUUUAUAUAUCCUCUUAUAGCCUUCCACAUAGAGUAGCACUGCUUAGGGUAUGUUACAUAGUUCCACUAUGUAAACAGGGGAAUUGUUGGAUUAUUCUAUUUGUACUAAUGAAGCUAUGUUCUUUUCUUUCACAAUUAAGUUCCAUUUCCAAAACAUCCAAGGCCAGAGAGAGGGGUGCCCACAUCUUAGGAUGACUCCCUUUUUUUUCUUUAUAGCACCCAAGGUAGAUUACUGAAGAAUGAUGGUUUUAGGGUGACUCCCCUUUUCUGAUAACACCCAAGGCCAGAGGUACCUUCUGCUAAACAUAUAUCAAAACCUUCUGCUGAACAGUCAUAACGAAACCUUCUGACGUGUAUAAAAGGACUUAGCUCAAAUAAACAAGGUGUGUCAUUCACUGAACCUCCACUCUGGUGGGCAAUUGAUUGAAUGCACCCUGAGACUCA